UGGGGAAUCUUGCGCAAUGGGCGAAAGCCUGACGCAGCCAUGCCGCGUGAUUGAUGAAGGUCUUAGGAUUGUAAAAUUCUUUCACCGGGGACGAUAAUGACGGUACCCGGAGAAGAAGCCCCGGCUAACUUCGUGCCAGCAGCCGCGGUAAUACGAAGGGGGCUAGCGUUGCUCGGAAUUACUGGGCGUAAAGGGAGCGUAGGCGGACUGUUAAGUUAGAGGUGAAAGCCCAGGGCUCAACCUUGGAAUUGCCUUUGAUACGGGCAGUCUUGAGUACGGAAGAGGUAUGUGGAACUCCGAGUGUAGAGGUGAAAUUCGUAGAUAUUCGGAAGAACACCAGUGGCGAAGGCGACAUACUGGUCCGUUACUGACGCUGAGGCUCGAAAGCGUGGGGAGCAAACA
rnacentral:rRNA from 1 species